UAAGGGUUGCAAAGUUGAAAACAUAAUACUUAUUAUUGUGUUUUAGGAAAGUCCUAAGUGUAGUAAAUAUACAGAAUGGAUUAAACUAUGACAUAUUUACAGAAAUAUUAUACUUGAACUUAGAAUGUUUACGUAUCGAACUGAAGUCUAUACACACUCACAUGCGCUUAUUCAGAUUCUUAACAAUUAAUCAACUUAAUAUCUUCCCUAUCCUUUUAACUGGUAAAAUGGUAGCUAGAUAUACAGAAUUAGGCUUAUAGCAACCCUUA
rnacentral:RNase_P_RNA from 1 species